AACGCUAGCGGUAGGCAUAACACAUGCAAGUCGAGGGGCAGCUGUUAGUAGUAGCAAUACUAUUAGAGAAAGGCGACGGCGGAUGGGUGAGUAACGCGUAUGCAACCUAGCUUGUACAGAGGGAUAGUCAUUGGAAACGAUGGGUAAACCCUCGUAAUGUUUUGAGAGGCAUCUUUUCAAAAAGAGAGUGUAGCAAUACAGGUAUAAGAUGGGCAUGCGUAGGAUUAGGCUAGUUGGUGAUAGUAACGGUACACCAAGGCGACGAUCCUUAGGGGUUCUGAGAGGAAUGUCCCCCACAUUGGAACUGAGAACGGUCCAAACUCCUACGGGAGGCAGCAGUGAGGAAUAUUGGUCAAUGGGCGGAAGCCUGAACCAGCCAUACCGCGUGCAGGAGGAAGGUCUUAUGGGUUGUAAACUGCUUUUAUGCGGGGAUAAAGUGCCGUACGCGUACGGUAUUGCAGGUACCGCAUGAAUAAGGACCGGCUAAUUCCGUGCC
rnacentral:rRNA from 1 species